CUUCACCCAAUAAAAUUAUUGAUUCUCAUUCUCCAAACAUCCCCCCUAGUGUGAUUCACAAGCUCUCAAAAGGAGACACAUUUUCUAAAGCAAUUGUCCUUCAUACAUUACUAUCAUCAUCAUUCAUUGUACUCCAAACACACAGUAACCCCAUAAACUUAUUAGUACUACCUUCCCCAUGGGGCUGCACUUGCUGCUCCUAGCCAAGCUCCACCUCAUAGCCACCGCCCGCAGCCUAAGUCCGACAUUGGUGGCCGGAUUGAUAUGGCCUUUCAUGCUCAAACUGUCCUUCAGUUUCAGACCCCUUCGCCGAUCUUUUACCAACAUGAUGUACUCAUCCAGGCUUUUCUUUUUUCAACUUGGUCACAUAGCCUUCAGCACCGAACGCCUCGGCAAUGGCACACCACGGUGGCAGAGAGCUGUCCGGCUGGUCUACGAGAGGAUGACACUCGUGAGACGGUCACAGGACACCGAGUCAGAUGAAGAUAGUUGGCGUACCCUCACUAUGCUUGCACUCUAAGGACAUGUUCAUGAAGUGCUGGACUCAGCAGCCACCGACCUAACAUAGGCGCAGUGGGACGGAUGCCCCUAGAAUUUCUUUUAUUUGUAUUAUUAUUUAUAUAUUUUGUUAAAAUUUUAAAAAUAUCCUCACUCAAUCUUUUAAAAUAUUAUAUUAUAUACUUUUGCCCCUCAUUAAUAGAUUCUAACUUUAGGUAAUUAAGUUUUUAUAAUUAUUCUUUUAUUUUUUAAAAUUUGUCGUUAAUUUCAUUUUCUUAAUUUUAUGAUGCUAAUCAAUAAAAUUUUUGGGUCCUUCCAGUAACUGGUAUGCUUGUGUUGUAUUUUCCUUUUUCAUGAACCAUUAUAGCGGCUGUUUGGUGCCAAAUGAGUUCUGAGAAUAUUUUAGAAAAAUGGAGACUUAUGUAGAGUUAGAGAUAUUUAAAAAAAAGUGUUGUGAGAGUAUUAAAUCUUAACCGGUAAAUAUAAUGCAUGUUGAGUGUUCAUUUGAUAGAAGAGUAUAUAUAAAGGUGAAUAAAAUUAGAUGUAAAGUGUAUAUGGUACCUAACUCAAAGAUAAAAAGUUUAGAGAAUGAUAGAGUUAACAACAGGUAAUCGCUUCCAAUCCGGUCAAAGAAUGAUAUAUGCAGCAGUUUCUUAUUUUCUACCUAACAGGGACAGACAGAGGAACCUUACAAGGUGUCUCAUAAUGCACCACACCACCAAAAUCAAGUACCAACCCCACUAGGUAGAAAGAAGGGAAGUCCACAGCGCCAGAUCAAAAGACUCUUGUCACCAAAACGAUCGAUCAGUAAGCCAACGUUGAAAUGAUCUAUCUAAGAGAAUCCUUCAUUCGCGGGAUAUAUGCUAUAAUUAAUGGAUUGAGUGUAGUUAUAAAGACAAAAAUAAACUUACUCGUAUCACUUCUCGUCCAAACCCAUUCAAGUGCCAAGUUCAUCAGGUAUGGUAAGGGAGGAAGAUUUUUCUGUCCAAAACCAUUGUAUUGUAUAAAAAAAAAAAAAAAAAAAAAAAAAAAAAAAAAAAAAAAAAAAAUUAAA